rnacentral:rRNA from 1 species
CAGUAGCCGCGGGAAUACGGAGGGUGCAAGCGUUAAUCGGAAUUACUGGGCGUAAAGCGCACGCAGGCGGUCUGACAAGUCGGAUGUGAAAUCCCCGGGCUCAACCUGGGAACUGCAUUCGAAACUGUCAGGCUUGAGUCUCGUAGAGGGGGGUAGAAUUCCAGGUGUAGCGGUGAAAUGCGUAGAGAUCUGGAGGAAUACCGGUGGCGAAGGCGGCCCCCUGGACGAAGACUGACGCUCAGGUGCGAAAGCGUGGGGAGCAAACAGGAUUAGAUACCCGCGUAGUCCCUGUCUCUUAUAC